GACUAUCAACAAUGGAUAUCUCAGCUCUCGCAUCGAUGAAGAAUGUAGCAAAAUGCGAUACUUGAUGUGAAUUGUAAAAUCUCGGGGAACCUCGAGUCUUUAAACGUAAGUUGCCUAGGUGUCA
rnacentral:rRNA from 1 species